rnacentral:rRNA from 1 species
GACGAACGCUGGCGGCGUGCUUAACACAUGCAAGUCGAACGAAGUGGCGAACGGGUGAGUAACGCGUAAUCAACCUGCCCUUCAGAGGGGGACAACAGUUGGAAACGACUGCUAAUACCGCAUACUGCAGGAGGGGAGUGCGUAGGGUUCGCUAGGUGGAGGGGUAACGGCCCACCAAGGGGAGGAUCAGUAGCCGGUCUGAGAGGAGGAACGGCCACAUUGGGAGUGAGACACGGCCCAGAGUGCUACGGGAGGCAGCAGGGGGGAAACUUGCGACAUGGGUGGAAGUCUGACCGCGCAACGCGGCGUGAUGGAUGACGGCCUUCGGGUUGGAAAGGUCGGUUAAUCGGGAGGCGGUACCUGAAGAAAAAGCAACGGCUAACUACGUGCCAGCAGCCGCGGUAAUUC